rnacentral:lncRNA from 1 species
GUGCCUUCCUGGAGUGAAGGACUUUCACAGCCCAGCUCUCUGGUAUGGACCCAAUGUCACUGACUACUGAUUCUGCUCAGGCCUCUGGAAAGCCCCUUUGGAAGUUGGGUGUAGCCAUGUGGCUUUCUUGAAUCAGUGAAAUGUGAGCAAAUUGAUGGUGUCGCUUCUGGGCAGAAGUGGUGAGAUCCAGGAAUCCGACAGGCCACCCACCCACUCCCUGCAUUCUCAUUUCCUGCCUUGAACCAGGCACCAGGCGGGGCAGUCACAGCUCAGCAAGGAGAAGCAGCAGGAUGAGGAGAUCUGGCAGCUGCAGAAGGAACAUGGGGCCUGCUCUCAUUCCUGCAGAUGGGAAGGAGAGAAGGAAAGGAUUCUGCAUGGGAAUUCUCAAGACACGGGCCUCCCAAACUUUUAGAGCUUCAUCUUAAGCAACACUACUGAAGUAUUUGUUACUCAUACCCACAUCUUUCAAAUGAGGAAAUUGGGGCACAGAUUGCUCAGGUGACUGGCGUAGAGUCACAGAGCUGGUGAUGGCUGAGUCCAGAUUACCACUGAGGUGGUCUGACUCCAAACCUACAGCACGGAGCAUGGUACAAUGUUUACUUUUGCCUGAAAGUGUUAAGAAAGGCUUACCACUGGAAGAGACAUCUGAGGUAGGUCCUGAAAGAUAAUUACCGUACUGAAAUUGAUGGUGUUUUAGAUGGGAUGAAAUAUGAUGUG